GACAGAGGUGCCGAGCGUUAGGCGGAAUCACUGGGCUUAAAGCGUGUGUAGGCGGGUCGUUAAGUGUCUUGUGAAAUCCCACCGCUCAACGGUGGAACUGCUGGGCAUACUGGCGAUCUUGAGCCACCUAGGGGCAGACGGAACAAGCGGUGGAGCGGUGAAAUGCGUAGAUAUCGCGUGGAACGCCGACGGUGAAAACAGUCUGCUGGGGGUGUGCUGACGCUGAGACACGAAAGCCAGGGGAGCGAACGGG
rnacentral:rRNA from 1 species